rnacentral:rRNA from 1 species
CCUACGGGAGGCAGCAGUGGGGAAUAUUGCUCAAUGGUCGAAAGACUGAUGCAGCCACGCCGCGUGAGUGAAGAAGGUUCUCGGUAUGUUAAGCUCCAUUAGCAGGGAAGAAAAUGCCGGUACCCGUCUACGAAUCCGCGGCCAACUACGUGCCAGCACCCGCGGCACUACGGCGGCGGCAAGCGUUAUCCGGAUUUACUGGGCGUAAAGGGAGCGUAGACGGCAGCAGAAGUCUGGAGUGAAAUGCCGGGGCUGAAACCCGGAACUGCUUGGGAAACUGUGAGUCUAGAGUGGGGGAGAGGUAAGUGGAAUUCCUGGUGUAGCGGUGAAAUGCAUAGAUAUUGGGAAGAACACCGGUGGCGAAGGCAGCUUACUGGACUCAAACUGACGUUGAGGCACGAAAGCGUGGGGAGCGAACAGGAUUAGAUACCCGGGUAGUC